GGUAGACGCAUGCAAUGCUCGGAGUCAGUACGAGAUCCAGCUUGCUGAUGCUGACUACGCGCUGGACCGGUGAGUCAUGCAUAGGAAUCUGCCGAUAGUGGGGGAUAACCUGGGGAACCCAGGCUAAUACCGCAUACGUCCUACGGGAGAAGGGGGCUCCGGCUCCCGCUAUGGGAUGAGCCUAUGUCGGAUAGCUAGUUGGUGAGGUAACAGCUCACCAGCGCACGAUCCGUAGCUGGUCUGAGAGGAUGAUCAGCCACAUCGGACUGAGACACGCCCGAACUCCUACGGGAGCAGCAGUGGGGAUAUUGGACAUGGGCGCACGUGAUCCAGCCAUGCCGCUGUGUGAGAAGCCCUCGGCUGGUAAAGCCACCUUCCGGCAGGAGAACGCUAGCGCGUAAUACCGCUAGGAAGACAUCCACUCGAGAAGAGAGACAGCUAAUCAUGGCAACAGCGCAGGAUAAACGAGAGUGCGCAGCGUAAUCGGAUACAAUGGGUAAGAGCACCUAGUGUUGAAAGACCGUGUGAAGCCCGGUCACACUGGGAGGGUCCGAAUGU
rnacentral:rRNA from 1 species